CAUGAUUUGUAGCAAUACAGAUUGAUGGCGACCGGCGCACGGGUGAGUAACGCGUAUGCAGCUUACCUAUCAGAGGGGGAUAGCCCGGCGAAAGUCGGAUUAAUACCCCAUAAAACAGGGGUCCCGCAUGGGAAUAUUUGUUAAAGAUUCAUCGCUGAUAGAUAGGCAUGCGUUCCAUUAGGCAGUUGGCGGGGUAACGGCCCACCAAACCGACGAUGGAUAGGGGUUCUGAGAGGAAGGUCCCCCACAUUGGUACUGAGACACGGACCAAACUCCUACGGGAGGCAGCAGUGAGGAAUAUUGGUCAAUGGCCGAGAGGCUGAACCAGCCAAGUCGCGUGAAGGAAGAAGGAUCUAUGGUUUGUAAACUUCUUUUAUAGGGGAAUAAAGUGGAGGACGUGUCCUUUUUUGUAUGUACCCUAUGAAUAAGCAUCGGCUAACUCCGUGCCAGCAGCCGCGGUAAUACGGAGGAUGCGAGCGUUAUCCGGAUUUAUUGGGUUUAAAGGGUGCGUAGGUGGUGAUUUAAGUCAGCGGUGAAAGUUUGUGGCUCAACCAUAAAAUUGCCGUUGAAACUGGGUUACUUGAGUGUGUUUGAGGUAGGCGGAAUGCGUGGUGUAGCGGUGAAAUGCAUAGAUAUCACGCAGAACUCCGAUUGCGAAGGCAGCUUACUAAACCAUAACUGAC
rnacentral:rRNA from 1 species